rnacentral:tRNA from 1 species
GGGGGCGUAGCUCAGUCGGUUAGAGUGCCGGCCUGUCACGCCGGAGGUCGCGGGUUCGAGCCCCGUCGCUCCCGCCA